GCCCGGGUAGCUCAAUCGGUAGAGCGUGUGGCUCUUAUGAAUACAUCACUAGAACACCUCAAGGUCGUGGGUUCGAGCCCCACCUCGGGCU